rnacentral:pre_miRNA from 13 species
AUAUAUACACACAUAUAUACGUAUAUAUGUGUAUAUAUAUACACACAUAUAUACGUAUAUAUGUGUGUAUAUAUA